AGGUCAAGCUACAAAGGGCGCAUGGUGAAUGCCUUGGCAUCAGGAGCCGAUGAAGGACGCGAUAAGCUGCGAUAAGCUUCGGGUAGACGCACAUAGUCAGAGAUCCGAAGAUUUCCGAAUGAGGAAACUCACAUGGGAAACCCCAUGUAUCGUAAAGUGAAUACAUAGCUUUAUGAAGGUAAACCCAGGGAACUGAAACAUCUAAGUACCUGGAGGAAGAGAAAGAAAAAUCGAUUUUCUUAGUAGCGGCGAGCGAAAGGGAAAGAGCCCAAACCAAAGAUUUAUCUUUGGGGUUGCGGACAGAACAUUAACGAGAAAUUAUGGUUAACCGAACACAACUGGAAAGUUGGACCGUAGGGGGUAAUAGUCCUGUAGGUGAAAAUUAUAAUGAUCAAGUUCUGAUCCAGAGUACCACGAGACACGUGAAACCUUGUGGGAAGCAGGGAGGACCACCUCCCAAGGCUAAAUACUACCUGAUGACCGAUAGUGAAGCAGUACCGUGAGGGAAAGGUGAAAAGAACCCCGGGAGGGGAGUGAAAUAGAACCUGAAACCAUGUGCCUACAACCGAUCAAAGCACCUUAUGUGUGUGAUGAUGUGCUUUUUGUAGAACGAGCCAACGAGUUACGGUAUGUAGCAAGGUUAAGUACUUAAGGUACGGAGCCGAAGGGAAACCGAGUCUUAAUAGGGCGACUAGUUGCAUGCUGUAGACCCGAAACCGGGUGACCUAUCCAUGGCCAGGUUGAAGCGAGGGUAAAACCUCGUGGAGGACCGAACCACGUUGCUGUUGAAAAAGCAUGGGAUGAGCUGUGGAUAGCGGAGAAAUUCCAAUCGAACUCGGAUAUAGCUGGUUCUCCUCGAAAUAGCUUUAGGGCUAGCGUCGGAAAAUGUGAGUACUGGGGGUAGAGCACUGAAUGGGCUAGGGGGCAUAGCGCUUACCGAACCUUAUCAAACUCCGAAUACCAGAUACUAUCAGUCCGGCAGUCAGACUGCGAAAGAUAAGUUCCGUAGUCAAAAGGGAAACAGCCCAGAUCGUCAGCUAAGGUCCCAAAGUGUAAGUUAAGUGGAAAAGGAUGUGGGAUUUCUAAGACAACUAGGAUGUUGGCUUAGAAGCAGCCACUCAUUAAAAGAGUGCGUAAUAGCUCACUAGUCAAGAGAUCCUGCGCCGAAAAUGUCCGGGGCUCAAACUUACCACCGAAGCUACGGGUUCACACAAUAGUGUGAGCGGUAGAGGAGCGUCGUAAUCGGGCUGAAGUCGUACCGUAAGGAGCGGUGGACUGAUUACGAGUGAGAAUGUUGGCAUUAGUAGCGAGAUGUGGGUGAGAAUCCCACAGGCCGAAUACCUAAGGUUUCCUCAGGAAGGUUCGUCCGCUGAGGGUUAGUCGGGACCUAAGCUGAGGCCGAAAGGCGUAAGCGAUGGACAAUCGGUUGAUAUUCCGAUACCACUAUUAUCGUUAUUAUCGAUGGUGUGACGGAGAAGGAUAGGAUGUGCUAGCUAUUGGAUGCUAGUCUAAGCGUUUAGGGAGUUAGAAUAGGCAAAUCCGUUCUAACAAUUCUGAGGCGUGAUGGGGAAGGUUCUAAGGAACCGAAGUAUCUGAUUCCAUGCUUCCAAGAAAAGCAUCUAGAAAGAGAAAUAGUGCCCGUACCGCAAACCGACACAGGUAGGUGAGGAGAGAAUCCUAAGGCCGGCGGAAGAAUUGCAGUUAAGGAACUAGGCAAAUUGACCCCGUAACUUCGGGAGAAGGGGUGCCUGCGAGAGCAGGCCGCAGAGAAUAGGCACAAGCAACUGUUUAACAAAAACACAGGUCUCUGCUAAAGCGAAAGCUGAUGUAUAGGGGCUGACGCCUGCCCGGUGCUGGAAGGUUAAGGGGAACACUUAGCGUAAGCGAAGGUGUGAACUUAAGCCCCAGUAAACGGCGGCCGUAACUAUAACGGUCCUAAGGUAGCGAAAUUCCUUGUCAGGUAAGUUCUGACCCGCACGAAUGGCGUAAUGACUUGUGCACUGUCUCAACUGCAAAUCCGGC
rnacentral:rRNA from 1 species